CGCUGAUAGAAUUACUGCCAAUUCUACAACAUUCUGCAGCUUAAAAGAACAUGAAUUUUAAGGGAAGGAGAAAGAGAAACUGCGUCAGCUUUGAGCACCAUUACAAAGAGGAAAAAGGGAAAAAUCAGAGACCUCAAGGGAGUGCACAGUCCUGUAUCAAGCACACAGCACAGCACUGCACGAAGAAGGAGCCGGCUGGAGAAGCUGACAAAGAUGUGGGCUCCACUAACUGGCCUGAAAAACAAGGCAAGCUGCUCUGUUCUUUGGUAUCUGUCCAGGGCCUUUUCUAGUUUCUAAAUUCAUUUAAAAGUCAUUUCAAUAUAGAA
rnacentral:lncRNA from 1 species